AGUGAACGCUGGCGGUAGGCCUAACACAUGCAAGUCGAACGGCAGCACAGUAAGAGCUUGCUCUUACGGGUGGCGAGUGGCGGACGGGUGAGGAAUACAUCGGAAUCUACUUUUUCGUGGGGGAUAACGUAGGGAAACUUACGCUAAUACCGCAUACGACCUACGGGUGAAAGCAGGGGAUCUUCGGACCUUGCGCGAUUGAAUGAGCCGAUGUCGGAUUAGCUAGUUGGCGGGGUAAAGGCCCACCAAGGUGACGAUCCGUAGCUGGUCUGAGAGGAUGAUCAGCCACACUGGAACUGAGACACGGUCCAGACUCCUACGGGAGGCAGCAGUGGGGAAUAUUGGACAAUGGGCGCAAGCCUGAUCCAGCCAUACCGCGUGGGUGAAGAAGGCCUUCGGGUUGGAAAGCCCUUUUGUUGGGAAAGAAAAGCAGCAGGUUAAUACCCCGCUGUUCUGACGGGACCCAAAGAAUAAGCACCGGCUAACUUCG
rnacentral:rRNA from 1 species